GAUGAACGCUGGCGGCGUGCCUAAUACAUGCAAGUCGAGCGAACAGACGAGGAGCUUGCUCCUCUGACGUUAGCGGCGGACGGGUGAGUAACACGUGGAUAACCUACCUAUAAGACUGGGAUAACUUCGGGAAACCGGAGCUAAUACCGGAUAAUAUAUUGAACCGCAUGGUUCAAUAGUGAAAGACGGUUUUGCUGUCACUUAUAGAUGGAUCCGCGCCGCAUUAGCUAGUUGGUAAGGUAACGGCUUACCAAGGCAACGAUGCGUAGCCGACCUGAGAGGGUGAUCGGCCACACUGGAACUGAGACACGGUCCAGACUCCUACGGGAGGCAGCAGUAGGGAAUAUUCCGCAAUGGGCGAAAGCUUGACGGAGCAACGCCGCGUGAGUGAUGAAGGUCUUCGGAUCGUAAAACUCUGUUAUUAGGGAAGAACAAAUGUGUAAGUAACUAUGCACGUCUUGACGGUACCUAAACAGAAAGCCACGGCUAACUACGUG
rnacentral:rRNA from 1 species